CCCUGGCUCAGGAUGAACGCUAGCGGCAGGCUUAACACAUGCAAGUCGAGGGGUAUAGUUCUUCGGAAUUAGAGACCGGCGCACGGGUGCGUAACGCGUAUGCAAUCUACCUUUUACAGAGGGAUAGCCCAGAGAAAUUUGGAUUAAUACCUCAUAGUAUAAUGACUUGGCAUCAAGACAUUAUUAAAGUCACAACGGUAAAAGAUGAGCAUGCGUCCCAUUAGCUAGUUGGUAAGGUAACGGCUUACCAAGGCUACGAUGGGUAGGGGUCCUGAGAGGGAGAUCCCCCACACUGGUACUGAGACACGGACCAGACUCCUACGGGAGGCAGCAGUGAGGAAUAUUGGACAAUGGGCGCAAGCCUGAUCCAGCCAUGCCGCGUGCAGGAUGACGGUCCUAUGGAUUGUAAACUGCUUUUAUACGAGAAGAAACACUACUUCGUGAAGUAGCUUGACGGUAUCGUAAGAAUAAGGAUUCGGCUAA
rnacentral:rRNA from 1 species